ACGGAGCCAAAGUGGCAUAUUUAGUUUUCAUUCUUACAAUUUGUGUCUCUAAUGCUCCGAGAUGAACUUUAGAUCCGAACGGCAUCCUGUUUAAUCCUUCAUAUUAAAACAGAUGACUUAUGUUUGUGUACAAU
rnacentral:snoRNA from 1 species